rnacentral:rRNA from 1 species
UACGGAGGGGGCAAGCGUUAUCCGGAAUUAUUGGGCGUAAAGGGCGCGUAGGCGGCUUGACAAGUCAGGGGGGAAAUCCCUCGGCUCAACCGGGGAACUGCCUCAGAAACUGUCAAGCUUGAGUCCGGGAGAGGGUAGUGGAAUUCCCAGUGUAGCGGGGAUAUGCGUAGAUAUUGGGAGGAACACCAGUGGCGAAAGCGGCUACCUGGACCGGUACUGACGCUGAGGCGCGAAAGCGUGGGGAGCAAACAGG